GGCCUUAGUGGCGCACGGGUGCGUAACGCGUGGGAAUCUGCCCCUUGGUUCGGAAUAACAGUUGGAAACGACUGCUAAUACCGGAUGACGACGUAAGUCCAAAGAUUUAUCGCCGAGGGAUGAGCCCGCGUAAGAUUAGCUAGUUGGUGUGGUAAAGGCGCACCAAGGCGACGAUCUUUAGCUGGUCUGAGAGGAUGAUCAGCCACACUGGGACUGAGACACGGCCCAGACUCCUACGGGAGGCAGCAGUGGGGAAUAUUGGACAAUGGGCGAAAGCCUGAUCCAGCAAUGCCGCGUGAGUGAUGAAGGCCUUAGGGUUGUAAAGCUCUUUUACCCGGGAUGAUAAUGACAGUACCGGGAGAAUAAGCUCCGGCUAACUCCGUGCCAGCAGCCGCGGUAAUACGGAGGGAGCUAGCGUUAUUCGGAAUUACUGGGCGUAAAGCGCACGUAGGCGGCUUUGUAAGUUAGAGGUGAAAGC
rnacentral:rRNA from 1 species